GCAGAUAGCAGCCGAAGCAGAGAGCACACAGGUAGCAGCCGAAGCAGAGAGCACAGCUCGCCGUGUCAACAAUGCGCGAAUGGCUCUUUUGAUUCCAAACUCACGUCACAAUGACGCGUUACCUGCAAGUCAGCAAGUGAUUAGUAUUAUAUGUUGAGUGAUAAUUCGAGGCACGGUGACAGUUGUUUUUGAAUGAUGGCGUAGCUUUAGGCUUAUGGUCAGCAUCUUGCUUUUGCAUUUGAAUUGAAUUCACCAUGAACUAUUCAUAAAGUGUUUUGUAUGAUAUUUUUUUAAAUAAUAAUUGACAUUUUUUCAAAUUUUGUGUGCCCACGGGCUAUUACCUAGUUGGAUUUAUAAAUGUAAAUAAAAAAAUCAUUAUAUAUUAGUAUACAUAAAAAUAGAUGUAUCUAUAAAUCGUC
rnacentral:lncRNA from 1 species